UACGGAGGGGGCUAGCGUUGUUCGGAAUUACUGGGCGUAAAGCGUACGUAGGCGGCUUUGUAAGUUAGAGGUGAAAGCCCAGAGCUCAACUCUGGAAUUGCCUUUAAGACUGCAUCGCUUGAAUCGUGGAGAGGUUAGUGGAAUUCCGAGUGUAGAGGUGAAAUUCGUAGAUAUUCGGAAGAACACCAGUGGCGAAGGCGACUCACUGGCCCGUUACCGACGCUCAGGCGCGACAGCGUGGGGAGCAAACAGG
rnacentral:rRNA from 1 species